GACGAACGCUGGCGGCGUGCUUAACACAUGCAAGUCGAACGGAAAGGCCCUGCUUUUGUGGGGUGCUCGAGUGGCGAACGGGUGAGUAACACGUGAGUAACCUGCCCUUGACUUUAGGAUAACUUCAGGAAACUGGGGCUAAUACCGGAUAGGAGCUCCUGCUGCAUGGUGGGGGUUGGAAAGUUUCGGCGGUUGGGGAUGGACUCGCGGCUUAUCAGCUUGUUGGUGGGGUAGUGGCUUACCAAGGCUUUGACGUGUAGCCGGCCUGAGAGGGUGACCGGCCACAUUGGGACUGAGAUACGGCCCAGACUCCUACGGGAGGCAGCAGUGGGGAAUAUUGCACAAUGGGCGGAAGCCUGAUGCAGCAACGCCGCGUGCGGGAUGACGGCCUUCGGGUUGUAAACCGCUUUCGCCUGUGACGAAGCGUGAGUGACGGUAAUGGGUAAAGAAGCACCGGCUAACUACGUG
rnacentral:rRNA from 1 species